UUGUGUAAAUGGAAUUGCCAUUCUCUGGCUUUGAGCUGACCUUCAUCGUCGUCGCCUUUGUCGUCUUCUCCCUCUUCAGCCUGGCUUCAGUUUGCUUCCAGCCACAAGGAGCCCAGCCAGAAGAAGAGCUCAGUGAAAUCAAGAAAUCUCAACAUUGUAACAGGAAGCAGAGAGUGAUGACCAAACAAGCUGAAUCAGAGCAUUAGUUAUUGUGUAGUGUUCUGGCUAUAACGUCUAUAACACUAGGUUUUCUAAAAGAAUGAAGCUGAAAAUAAAGUUCCCCAUUCAUGAUGCUG